rnacentral:lncRNA from 1 species
UUAAGAAAAAAAAAAUUCUAACUAUAUCAUGAGAGAUCACAAUGAUUUUUGAAAGUCAAAGUAGAUAAAUACACUGGAGGGAUACUCGAAUAAAAUUCCGUACCUUCAUCAGAUCGGGUGAUGAAAAGUACGUUAUGUCUAAGAAAUUGUCUUCAUGCAAUACUAAAGAAUCAAAACAUGUAACUCAUGCAAAAAAACUAUCCAAUGCUGACACCAA